rnacentral:rRNA from 1 species
UACGAAGGGGGCUAGCGUUGCUCGGAAUCACUGGGCGUAAAGCGCACGUAGGCGGCUCUUUAAGUCAGAGGUGAAAUCCUGGGGCUCAACCCCAGAACUGCCUUUGAUACUGAGGAGCUUGAGUCCGGGAGAGGUGAGUGGAACUGCGAGUGUGGAGGUGAAAUUCGUAGAUAUUCGCAAGAACACCAGUGGCGAAGGCGGCUCACUGGCCCGGUACUGACGCUGAGGUGCGAAAGCGUGGGGAGCAAACAGG